ACGGGAGGCAGCAGUGGGGAAUAUUGCACAAUGGGGGAAACCCUGAUGCAGCAACGCCGCGUGAGUGAAGAAGUAUUUCGGUAUGUAAAGCUCUAUCAGCAGGGAAGAUAAUGACGGUACCUGACUAAGAAGCUCCGGCUAAAUACGUGCCAGCAGCCGCGGUAAUACGUAUGGAGCAAGCGUUAUCCGGAUUUACUGGGUGUAAAGGGUGUGUAGGCGGCGAAGUAAGUCAGAAGUGAAAGACCGGGGCUCAACUCCGGGGCUGCUUUUGAAACUGCAUUGCUGGAGUCCAGGAGAGGCAGGCGGAAUUCCUAGUGUAGCGGUGAAAUGCGUAGAUAUUAGGAAGAACACCGGUGGCGAAGGCGGCCUGCUGGACUGGUACUGACGCUGAGGCACGAAAGCGUGGGGAGCAAACAGGAUUAGAUACCCUGGUA
rnacentral:rRNA from 2 species